rnacentral:rRNA from 1 species
UACAGAGACUGCAAGCGUUAUUCGGAUUCACUGGGCGUAAAGGGCGCGCAGGCGGCUAUCCAAGUCAGGCGUGAAAGCCCCGGGCUUAACCUGGGAGGUGCGUCUGGGACUGGGUGGCUAGAGUUCGGGAGAGGAGAGUGGAAUCCCCAGUGUAGAGGUGAAAUUCGUAGAUAUUGGGAAGAACACCGGUGGCGAAGGCGGCUCUCUGGACCGAGACUGACGCUGAGGCGCGAAAGCGUGGGGAGCAAACAGG